ACUAAAAAAGACGGAUGAGAUAAAAUUUUCAUUGAAGAAAGCAUUUCGUGGACAUCACUCGGUGUGUUCGAUAAGGUUUCUCAAGCUCUCUACAACGCCGGCCUCGGCCAACUGUCUCUAGUUCAAGUGCCAAGUUCAGUCUUAACCCUAAUUUUUUCUUUCAUUCCUCAAUUUUCUCCAUCCGAGCAAUGAAAAAUUGAACUAUGUUUUCAGAUUAUUGAUCCCAAUUUGUGAAAUCGCUUCAAAGUUUGAAUUUUAUUAUGUGUUUUUUGGAUUUUAGGCUGCUAGCAUACGGGCUAUACUUUCAGGGAAGGAUUGUUGCAGCUGAAACUGAAUCACCACGUUCAGGGAUGGAUGUUGUUUUGAUUAGGGAUUCCCCUCAUUGGGUUUUCAUUUCAGUUCGGAUUUACAGUAAAUGCAAAUCCGGUUCCUAAAGCUCAAAGAGAAGGUCUGCAAAGGUUCAUAUGUAAUCCCUCCUAUCUGUAAUGGAAGUUUGUAAGGUUUAUGCUUCGGUUUAUAUCGAUGGAAAUAAAGUUGUUGCGAUGAAGACCUCCCUCACUCUCUGAAGCCCAGAACGGAGUGAAACGGUAUUGGAUUGAUUUUAGCGAGUGGGUUUUUUUGUUAACGUGGAUCAGAUUCGAACCUUUGUGUCGAUCGAAGUCAUUGCUGGUGGGUUAGCUGAGGACCUUGAGGGAGGGUGAUCCAAUUUUCAGAGAAGAACUAAGUUUUUCUCAGAGAGGACGAAUUCUGCAGCUUUUUUAUUUCAAAGACGAUUCCAGCCCCAUUGGAAUACAAAAAGUUUUCAACAGGAGUUCAACAUAUCAAGUAUGGAGAGAAAUGAUAGGAGCAAUAUAGCAUAGGUUGUCAUCUUCUUAAAUAAAUUGUUCUCAGUGUUAGGAUGUCUUUUUCCUCCGUUUGGGGUUUUAUCCUACUUGGUACGAACAAUGCUUCAUUUCUAUAAACUAUUCUCCCUCAACUUCUGUAAA